AAGACUUUCUACACGGAAAGCAAGCCUCCUUGUACACAAUAAAAAUUCUCUUAAAUAUUCGAUAAAGAUAUUUAGUUUUAUAAUUAGCUAUGGAAAAUCAAAGCCCAGAAUCAUCAAAUCUACAAAAAUAGAAAAAAAAUGGAUGUUGCUUCUGAUGAAGAAAUAAAGUGUCUCUUAGUGGAUGUUGCUUCCAAUUCUUCAGGACUUUUGCUUUCAAACUUAAUUGAUAUCAUUGUUGAUUGCUUACUGAAGUAGGCAGGAAAGUUGGGCACAAACCAUAUGGCAGACGAGGAGUUGGCAUUGUAAAUUUCAAGGGGGUGAAUGAAAUCCAGGAACAAAGUGUCUAUUCUUGAAGAUGAAGUCAAGUUUAAAACCAGUGCCCAAAUUUGUGUCAAUCUUUAAAGCAGAGAAAUUGAUCUUUCAACACCGCCGGAUGGCUUUCUUUCUAGGAAAAAAAGUAGUGAGAAGUAUCAGAUGAAGAUUAUGGUCCUAUUUUUACUCUAAUAACUCUAACUUCACCCAAUGUUUCUAAUCAUAUUUCUAUAAAAGAUGAAUUUUGUACUGCUAAAGACGUGAAAAAUUCUUAAGAGGAUUUAAGUUUGUCUUUUGUUUCUUUAUGUUGUUUAAAGAUAGUCACUCAAGUUGUAAUUCACAGUGUUUACUUUAAACUAAUUUGCCACGAUUUCUUCUUA